GACUCAAUUCAAUUUUCAUAAUGCUUUCUCACCAGUCUGAUCUGCAACAACUCCGAGUUCUGAGGACACCCUGCAAGGAGCUGAGCAGAUGUGGACAGUGGAAGGUGACCGUCACAGAAGUUGCCUUGGUCGUGGUGUCUCUCCACAGCAACAGAACAGUCUGAGAUGACUUCCUGCACCGGGUUUCUUUGGGAUGAUCCUUUCCCUCGGGCAGGUCGCCACACAACCUUCUCUUCUGUAACUCCGUACAGCCUCAGGCUGCACAGCACAUCCUUCCCCAGCCCCGCCCCAAGGCUGUCACCGACUAGCUGGCGCCAGUCCCAGGAAGGAAGCACAUCCUCUCAGAAAAGAUGGUGUGGUUUCCUAGGAAACUUCAUCUACAAACAAGGGUGCACCGGGAACCGCGUGGGGACGUCCUGGGGCGAGUGUUUCUGCUGCACUGCCAGGAGCGAGCUGACAAACGCAGCGUGGGGACCACUUACCUGACAGGAGGAUGCCCUUCUCCCCGACCACAGUGUCGAAGCCCUGUGGGAAGCUUCGGAUGAACUCAGCGGCGUUGGCCACCUCUGCGGCCCUCUCCACCUGCUGGGCUGUGACCG
rnacentral:lncRNA from 1 species